GGAAUAGCUUGGUGGUAGAGCAUGUGCUUAACAUGCACAAGGUCCUGGGUUCAAUCCCCAGUCCCUCCA
rnacentral:tRNA from 1 species